CGGAGGAAAAGAAACCAACAGGGAUUGCCUCAGUAACGGCGAGUGAAGCGGCAAAAGCUCAAAUUUGAAAUCCCCCGGGAAUUGUAAUUUGAAGAGAUUUGGGUCCGGCCGGCAGGGGUUAAGUCCACUGGAAAGUGGCGCCACAGAGGGUGACAGCCCCGUGAACCCCCUCAACGCCCUCAUCCCAGAUCUCCAAGAGUCGAGUUGUUUGGGAAUGCAGCUCUAAGUGGGUGGUAAAUUCCAUCUAAAGCUAAAUACCGGCGAGAGACCGAUAGCGAACAAGUACAGUGAUGGAAAGAUGAAAAGCACUUUGAAAAGAGAGUGAAAAAGUACGUGAAAUUGUUGAAAGGGAAGGGCUUGCAAGCAGACACUUAACUGGGCCAGCAUCGGGGCGGCGGGGAGCAAAACCACCGGGGAAUGUACCUUUCGAGGAUUAUAACCCCGGCCCUUACUCCCAUACCACCCCGAGGCCUGCAAUCUAAGGAUGCUGGCGUAAUGGUUGCAAGUCGCCCGUCU
rnacentral:rRNA from 1 species